rfam:Salinicoccus halodurans strain H3B36, complete genome.
GGGGACGUUCCGGAUUCGACAGGGGCUGUUUGGGCAUUUUAAGCGUGCCGGAGGUAUCGGCUCCGCAAAAACGAUACUCAGUUUAUAAUAACUGGCAAACAAAACAACUUCGCAGUAGCUGCGUAAUAGCGCUCUGCAUCAUCCCUUGUCGUUACCUGUGCGACCUGACCGGAUGAUUCAACUUUAGCAGGUUACGCAUCCAGUCUUCCGUCUGCAGACUGGAUGAAGAGACCAAUCAGACUAGCAUGGUAUGUGGUUCGUCCAUUACCGUCAGCCAUGCGAAUUCCAAAUAUGGACUACGCACGUAGAAAAAAAUGUAUCAAGGUCUCUGGACGCGGGUUCGACUCCCGCCGUCUCCAUUA